rnacentral:rRNA from 1 species
UACAGAGGUCUCAAGCGUUGUUCGGAUUUAUUGGGCGUAAAGGGUGCGUAGGCGGCAAGGCAAGUCGGAUGUGAAAUAUCGAGGCUCAACCUCGAAAAUGCAUUCGAAACUGCUUUGCUUGAGUGCUGGAAAGGAGACUGGAAUUUACGGUGUAGCAGUGAAAUGCGUAGAUAUCGUAAGGAAGACCAGUGGCGAAAGCGAGUCUCUGGACAGUUACUGACGCUGAGGCACGAAGGCCAGGGGAGCAAACGGG